UACGGGGGGGGCAAGCGUUGUUCGGAAUUACUGGGCGUAAAGGGCUCGUAGGUGGCCAACUAAGUCAGACGUGAAAUCCCUCGGCUUAACCGGGGAACUGCGUCUGAUACUGGAUGGCUUGAGUUCGGGAGAGGGAUGCGGAAUUCCAGGUGUAGCGGUGAAAUGCGUAGAUAUCUGGAGGAACACCGGUGGCGAUGGCGGCAUCCUGGACCGACACUGACACUGAGGAGCGAAAGCCAGGGGAGCAAACGGG
rnacentral:rRNA from 1 species